CCUCCCCUCACCUGGUUGUCUAGGACCUCCCCUCACCUGGUUGUCUAGGACCUCCCCUCACCUGGUUGUCUAGGACCUCCCCUCACCUGGUUGUCUAGGACCUCCCCUCACCUGGUUGUCUAGGACCUCCCCUCACCCGGUUGUCUAGGACCUCCCCUCACCUGGUUGUCUAGGACCUCCCCCUCACCUGGUUGUCUAGGACUUCAUACUGACACAUUAAAAAGUGAAAUAACUAAAACCAGCAGAUGACUGCCCUCCAUGGAAUGAGUUUGGACACCUUCUGAUCUAGUGCCUUUCGACAGAAGCACAGAUCCAGGAACAGUCUCCAUUUCCUCAACCUUAACUAGUGUAGUAUAAGUUAACUACUAGGGGGGGGGAUCUGCAUGAAAACUGACCUGAGAUCAGUGUCGUGUUUUAUAAGAUGACCACUUCCUCUCUUUUACAGGUGACAUUCCUUUCCUCCUUAAACAUGUGUCGCUUUGUAUUCCUUCCCCCCCACUGAUUCAGUAGCAGGAAGGAGUUUUGAGGUGUCGCGUUGUAUUCCUUCCCCCCCACUGAUUCAGUAGCAGGAAGGAGUUUUGAGGUGUCGCGUUGUAUUCCCUCCCCCACUGAUUCAGUAGCAGGAAGGAGUUUUGAGGUGUCGCGUUUUAUUCCCCCCCCCCCCCCCACUGAUUCAGUAGCAGGAAGGAGUUUUGAGGUGUCGCGUUGUAUUCCCUCCCCCACUGAUUCAGUAGCAGGAAGGAGUUUUGAGGUGUCGCGUUGUAUUCCCUCCCCCACUGAUUCAGUAGCAGGAAGGAGUUUUGAGGUGUCGCGUUUGAUUCCCCCCCCACUGAUUCAGUAGCAGGAAGGAGUUUUGAGGUGUCACGUUUAUUCCUCCCCCCACUGAUUCAGUAGCAGGAAGGAGUUUUGAGGUGUCGCGUUUGAUUUCUUCCCCCACUGAUUCAGUAGCAGGAAGGAGUUUUGAGGUGUCGCGUUUUAUUCCCUCCCCCCCACUGAUUCAGUAGCAGGAAGGAGUUUUGAGGUGUUACGAUAUCAUAGAGCCUUUUAGCGUCACAGAAUACCAGUCUACUGAUAGCAUUAAUACAACGUUUGUUAGUUUGUACAUAUACCAGUAAUAGGAUCCAUGUUUCUCUAUCAUGUCUUUUACAUUUCUAGGAGAAGUUGUUGUUUUAACUAUUUUUUUUCAGAUGAUCUGUCUGUCUGUGGAAGAUUUAUUGUUAAUAAUUGUAAAGGAUCAAAAAUAAAUGGGAGUUUGUAGAGA